AAGCAGCCGGCGGCGUCGCCGCAAAGCCAAGCGACGCCUCUGCGCCCCAGACACAGUCCGCAGAGCGGCGUCCUCGUCGGUCCCUGGCCCUCGAACAUUCUCCGCCGCCCCGGCCUGAGCCAGGGACCGCCGAGGUUCUCCACAGGCCGAGCUAACUUCCCACCCCAGGAACAGAGCUCGCUCUGCUGCCCCCGGUGGCGGCCGGCCGCCACCUUACCCUCGGCUUCUUCGACAAUCGGCGACGGCCGGUUGAGAACUACAUUUCCCAUCAGGCCCUUCUCAACACCGCGAUCGUGCCCGCGAGACUCGGGUGGGAAGACCGCGCGCAGGCGCAGCCUCGCCCUUUCCGAGCUCGGCCGCCGCGUGUGCGGGAGUCAUGGCCGCGAGGCUCCGUCGUGCGCCCACGGGCAGGGCUGGGCCUUGGGUGUCGGCGUGCCCCUGGCAAAGCAUCAGGUUAAUGGCAGGAUCCCCAGGCGUAAAGGGACCCGCGUGGCCGCCCAGUGAGAAGGCGGAGAAGGACGGCGGGCAUCUGCGUGCACUGUUCUCAGGUUCCCCAAUGAGCGAGCGUUGAGCCAUGAGUCCCUUUCGAUUGGAGUUGGCUCCUGGAGACACCAUGAGAUGCUGUGUGUGGCGUUCCCGUGACAGGCUGGAAGAACUUGUCAAAGACUCUGGCUCAGCGAUAAGACAGAUGCUGCUGGGAGUGACCCUCUUCCACCCUGAGGUGCAGGCCAAGUCUGGGGCAGAAAGGGAUGCUGUGGCAGCCUGCAGGUUACUGCCCUAAAGUGCCCUGCUGCUGCUGACUUUAAUCUCCCAGAGAGAAUGUCAUCAAAGGACCUUGGAGUUUGAUCUGCAGAAGUAGCCAAGAAGUCAAGUGACUCUGUCAUCCUGGGAAGCCUCUGGCAGCUAGCAGUUGGAGGCACUGGGGAGGCAGGUGCUGCGCCUAGAAAAGCAUUUCUCAGUGGAUUUCCUGGGAAGUUCAUGUUGGGCUUUGUGAUUUGAAGCACAAAUAAACCUUAUUAGAUUUAACUCACUAACAUUGUGGAUGUGAGAUUGAGGCUUUUCUAACACUGAAGGGUGUUCUAGAAUAACACUUGAACUUGACUGCAGAAAACUAAAGACAUUUCUACUGACCUGUUAAAAAAUUUACUUUGGCUGGGCGUUGGUGGCGCAUGCCUUUAAUACCAGCACUCGGGAGGCAGAGGCAGGUGGAUUUCUGUGACUUCGAGGCCAGCCUGUUCUCCAGAGCAAGUGCCAGGAUAGGCUCCAAAGCUACACAG
rnacentral:lncRNA from 1 species